UGGCAGGGGAAACACCUCCAUCACCAGAGCCCACUGCACAUUUGGGCUCCCAGGGACCAGACCAGGUUUGCCAAAAUGGAUUUUCUGUGCAGGGAACAGCAUUUUCAGCGUCCUCCUGGGACGCAGGCAGCUGCGAAACUGCUCCAGCAGGUCCCCCCAACCUGGACAAGGUCCCUGCUCAGUGCCACAAGGUUCCAGGUUCAUCUCCCCACCACCAAAGUUAUGAUAUGGAGGCAGAGAAAGUCGAGACUACAUUUUUGUACCAAAAUUAAUGUUUAUUUCUCCAUCUUUUGUACAUAAAAACUGUCAUGGUAACGCGAUGCUACCAGAGCGUCACUGGCCCACAGCUGCAAAGCCAUGAAAAAAGGCUUUAUAUCAAAGGAACUGUUACCAGAAAAUAAAAGCUCCUGGGCAAGGCUCCAGGCUGGCCUGGGUGCAGCUCACGUAUCCUCAUUUCUCUUUCAUUUUGCAGCUUUCCAGGGCUGCUAAAAGCAUUUGGCAGAGGCUGCCACCACCCUGCUGCGAGGGUAAUGCAGCUCUCAGCACUGCAAGGAGCCCCGAGAUGCCCCGGCCAUGAACAGGGCAGAGAGACUGAUGCCUGAAUUGUCCUACCUGCCCGUUUUUCACUCCCUCAUGGCUGGUGGGUGGCAGGGGAAAGGGUCAAGCCCGGCUCCUGGUUCACCCAUGUUUGGGUGCGGGGAGUCCCUGGACCAUGCUGCCCAACCCGAGGCUGAACCGGAGAAAUUCUUCUCCCCUCCUACAACCAGCAUUUUUCUCUUUCAAGCACAAACCUCUCAUGCGGGAGGAUGUCCCUACCUCUUCCCACAAGCCCAUCUGUGGCCGCUCACUCGCUGUUAUUCCCUCUGGUUCAUGCCCCACUGGGUUUGCGUCCCGGAGCCCAACCUAAAGUUCUCACAGGUCCAGCGUUUUCUGCCUUUGUCCAGAGGCAACAUCUAGGUCGAGCAGCUGGUGUUCUCCAUGUUCUCCUCAAGGAUGCCUCCAUCUCUUGUCCUCUCCCCAGCUUUGUGGGUCUUGCUUGCUUCUGAAGACAAGCUGUUAAAAAUAUCGGGGAGAAGCACCUCCAGGGCCAGCUCUGGUACAGACCACCCUCCUCAGGGACAGCAGCUGUCUGGGCUGGAGGAGCUACCUGACCUCAGGACACCAGGGGACAGAGAAGCUCCCACCACAGGGUCCAGGGCUGAAAAAAUACAUCAUAUUAAAGGCUCAGGCUUCCACCUGUCUUCACCCCAACUCCAG
rnacentral:lncRNA from 1 species